rnacentral:rRNA from 1 species
UACGUAGGUGGCUAGCGUUGUCCGGAUUUACUGGGCGUAAAGAGCGCGCAGGCGGUCGUUCAAGUCGAGUGUGAAAGCCCCCGGCUCAACUGGGGAGGGUCACUCGAUACUGAUCGACUUGAAGGCGGGAGAGGGAAGCGGAAUUCCCGGUGUAGUGGUGAAAUGCGUAGAUAUCAGGAGGAACACCGGUGGCGAAGGCGCACAUCUGGCCCGAUACUGACGCUGAGGCGCGAAAGCUAGGGGAGCAAACGGG